GACGAACCGUGCUAACGUUGUUCGGAAUCACUGGGCUUAAAGGGCGCGUAGGCGGUCUACCAAGUCGGGGGUGAAAUCUUUCGGCUUAACCGGAAAAGGGCCUUCGAUACUGGUAGACUAGAGCGAGGUAGGGGCAGAUGGAACUUCCGGUGGAGCGGUGAAAUGCGUUGAUAUCGUUAGGAACUCCGGUGGCGAAAGCGGCGUGCUGGAUCUCUUCUGACGCUGAGGCUCGAAAGCUAGGGGAGCAAACGGG
rnacentral:rRNA from 1 species